UACGGGGGGUGCAAGCGUUGUUCGGAAUUACUGGGCGUAAAGCGCACGUAGGCGGAUCGAUCAGUUAGGGGUGAAAUCCCGGGGCUCAACCCCGGAACUGCCUCUAAUACUGUCGAUCUCGAGUUCGAGAGAGGUGAGUGGAAUUCCGAGUGUAGAGGUGAAAUUCGUAGAUAUUCGGAGGAACACCAGUGGCGAAGGCGGCUCACUGGCUCGAUACUGACGCUGAGGUGCGAAAGCGUGGGGAGCAAACAGG
rnacentral:rRNA from 1 species